CGCAGCCUCGUCAAAUUCAGUACGUCCUCCACCGUGGAUCAUACUGGCCAAAAUGGCUGCCACACUCAAACGGUCGCUCAUGGGCCCCGCGUCAGAUGCCUGUAGAUGCUGGGGAUAAAUUUGUGCUACCGACAACA